UUGAUGUAUUCUGAGGUCGGGGGCCAGCUCAGCACAUAGCUCCAGGAAGGUUUCUUUAUGCAUCCUAAAGUUGUGUACCCACUGGUCUUCAUCCCACACCUGCAUGACAAUGCGAUUCUACCAAUCAGUGCUUGUUUCCCUAGCCAAAAGUGACAGUCUACUGUAUGCAGCUGCUCUGUGACUGCCAAAAGCACUGAUAAGUUGCUGCUGUCCAUAUCACACUCAGGUGCCUGCGAUUCAUCCUCUGUCAGUAACUUUGCGAGUAACUCUGUUGCCAUGCAUGAUGUCCUCAUGAGAGUUAACAGUGCAUAGGAGAGAAGUGUGGGAUCCAUCCUCUCUCACUGCAGAUGCUGGUGCACACUACAAAGACUGACAGUUGGAAAAACGGCGCAACGGGAAAGCCAGAACAUUGUGAAAGGAAGCCAGAAACCAUUGGAGGGCUGGGACACAAAGUGGUGCAUGACGGGAUAUUUUGCAUGUCCCAGGAUGUGCUGAGUUCCGUUUCCGCCUUCCCACAACACCUAGCAACAGAUGGUGUCGCCAAGCACUGUGGGAUACAUACCAUGCUGUCGACAAUGGUGCCCCGAAUGUGGACGCGAUCUGUUGACGGAAGGAGCAAAUGUAGACUCACUUUGGUGACUUUGCUUUUGUCGAUUUUUUUCGUGUCAACAUUAGUUUCAUUGACAAAACUUGCUAGUGUGAAUUUUUAGAUUUUUGAGCCUGGGGCCCUCAUCUGUGUAUGGCAGUGUGACAUUAGAGCUGGCCUCGCACACCAAAAUUAUUGAUGCUCUGUCUGCUUAGGUGGAAAACUUGGGUAAUCUAGUGGUGGACAUGUUAUAGAAUCAUUAUAGAUCUUAUGCAAAGAUAAGCCAAACUUGUAUUGGUCAGUCUGGCAGGUGUGCUACUGCUACUUAAACUGGCACUUUUAAAGUAAAUCCUAAACAUGUCUCAAGGUCUUUUAAAAUCCAUGGAUCUUUCUUCUGAUCCAGCCAUGCUGUGCUCAUGGUAUUGAGAGAGAGAGAGAGAAUUUGCACUGCAAAUUUGGAAGAAUUUUGUCUUUCCAGUAGCUCCAGAACAUAAGAGCUAUAACAAGGUCCCAGUACAACCUACCUGUAGGCAGUCCUCGCCAGGGAUUGAGGCUACCAGGGCCUGAGUGCAACACCUGUUGCCAAGCCCUUUGAGGUGAGCACUAGUAGAGCUUUCAAGAACAACUCUUGGCUACAGCAUUUCUUACUAUAAAUGCCAAUCAAUUAAAAUUGUCAGUUAAAGCAAUAAAUCCACGUGUGCAAGUCUGUUAAACAUUUUUGGAUAAUCUAUAUGGAUCUGUUUUACUAAUUAAAAAGAGAAUAUAAUACUU